AGGACAUGGAACAGCUCCUAGAAAGACUUGAUGAAAGGGUGACCGAUGUUGUUAAUCACAGAAGGACUACUGCUUUGAAAGGCCUGCCUUUGUUUCUUCGAGAGGACCCAAACAAGCUGUUCAAGACAUGCAAAGACACCGAAGAUGGGGCAAAAGGAGUGUCUAUUGCCAUUCUGUGUGUUUUGGAAGAUGACACCCAGGCGACAUCACCCGAGGUUGUGAACAUUGCUGUUGUGUUGGAGCAGGUCGUCGUUUUGAAAGAUCUCCCAGAUAUUUCUACUGCUCUUGCAUACCUUUUUGGCCUUCUGUAUGCAUUAAACAUGUCCUAUCCUCAAGCUCUUAAGUACACUUUUGACACCAUUCAGAAUGUUUUCAUGGAGCUGGGAUCUGGAUGCACCAAACGUGUACUUUCUCUGAAGAACAAACUGUUGUAAAGAAAAUAAGAACAGUGUUUUUGGGAUCCUUUUUGGCGUUCAUUUGUUACAAGACCUAAAGUGCGCUUGGAUACAAGGUCUGGG
ensembl:lncRNA